CCUACGGGAGGCAGCAGUGGGGAAUAUUGGACAAUGGGGGGAACCCUGAUCCAGCCAUGCCGCGUGUGUGAAGAAGGCCUUUUGGUUGUAAAGCACUUUAAGCGAGGAGGAGGCUUACCUGGUUAAUACCUGGGAUAAGUGGACGUUACUCGCAGAAUAAGCACCGGCUAACUCUGUGCCAGCAGCCGCGGUAAUACAGAGGGUGCAAGCGUUAAUCGGAUUUACUGGGCGUAAAGCGCGCGUAGGUGGCUAAUUAAGUCAAAUGUGAAAUCCCCGAGCUUAACUUGGGAAUUGCAUUCGAUACUGGUUAGCUAGAGUAUGGGAGAGGAUGGUAGAAUUCCAGGUGUAGCGGUGAAAUGCGUAGAGAUCUGGAGGAAUACCGAUGGCGAAGGCAGCCAUCUGGCCUAAUACUGACACUGAGGUGCGAAAGCAUGGGGAG
rnacentral:rRNA from 1 species